GACGAACGCUGGCGGCGUGCCUAACACAUGCAAGUCGAACGAGGUCCAUAGGAGCUUGCUCCCGGAAGACCUAGUGGCGAACGGGUGAGUAACACGUGAGAAACCUGCCCUGGAGUGGGGAAUAACUCGGGGAAACUCGAGCUAAUACCGCAUACCCUCGGAUGGUCGCCUGGCCGACCGAGGAAAGAUUUAUCGCUCUAGGAGGGUCUCGCGGCCUAUCAGCUAGUUGGUGGGGUAACGGCCUACCAAGGCAACGACGGGUAGCUGGUUUGAGAGAACGAUCAGCCACACUGGGACUGAGACACGGCCCAGACUCCUACGGGAGGCAGCAGUGGGGAAUCUUGCGCAAUGGGCGAAAGCCUGACGCAGCAACGCCGCGUGCGGGAUGACGGCCUUCGUGGUUGUAAACCGCUUUCAGCAGGGACGAAAAUGACGGUACCUGCAGAAGAAGCCCCGGCUAACUACGUGCCAGCCGCCGCGGUAAAAC
rnacentral:rRNA from 1 species